rnacentral:rRNA from 1 species
CCUACGGGUGGCAGCAGUGAGGAAUCUUGGUCAAUGGGCGGAAGCCUGAACCAGCUAAGUAGCGUGCAGGAUGAAGGCCCUACGGGUUGUAAACUGCUUUUAUACGGGACUAACGCGCCUUACGUGUAGGGCUUUGCAUGUACCGUAUGAAUAAGGACCGGCUAAUUCCGUGCCAGCAGCCGCGGUAAUACGGAAGGUCCGGGCGUUAUCCGGAUUUAUUGGGUUUAAAGGGAGCGUAGGCCGCAUGUCAAGCGUGCUGUGAAAUGUCCGGGCUCAACCCGGGCCUUGCAGCGCGAACUGGCUUGCUUGAGUGCGCGGAAAGCAGGCGGAAUGCGUCGUGUAGCGGUGAAAUGCUUAGAUAUGACGAAGAACCCCGAUUGCGAAGGCAGCUGGCUGCAGCGGAACUGACGCUGAUGCUCGAAAGCGCGGGUAUCGAACAGGAUUAGAUACCCUUGUAGUC